rnacentral:rRNA from 1 species
GGCGGACGGGUGGAGUAACGCGUGGGCGAACCUGGCUCGUACUGGGGGAGUAGCAGUUGGAAACGACUGAUAAUACCGCAUAAGCGCACAGUACCGCAUGGUACAGUGUGAAAAACUCCGGUGGUACGAGAUGGGCCCGCGUCAGAUUAGCCAGUUGGUGGGGUAACGGCCUACCAAAGCAACGAUCUGUAGCCGGACUGAGAGGUCGGACGGCCACAUUGGGACUGAGACACGGCCCAAACUCCUACGGGAGGCAGCAGUGGGGGAUAUUGCACAAUGGGCGAAAGCCUGAUGCAGCGACGCCGCGUGAGUGAAGAAGUAUUUCGGUAUGUAAAGCUCUAUCAGCAGGGAAGAAAGACUCGUAAGAGAGAUGACGGUACCUGACUAAGAAGCCCCGGCUAACUACGUGCCAGCAGCCGC